rnacentral:rRNA from 2 species
CCUGACGACCAUAGCAAGGUGGUCCCACUCCUUCCCAUCCCGAACAGGACAGUGAAACGCCUUUGCGCCGAUGAUAGUGGACGGACGUCUGUGAAAGUAGGUCAUUGUCAGGC